ACGGAAGGCAGCAGUGGGGAAUAUUGCACAAUGGGGGAAACCCUGAUGCAGCGACGCCGCGUGAGUGAAGAAGUAUUUCGGUAUGUAAAGCUCUAUCAGCAGGAAAGAAAAUGACGGUACCUGACUAAGAAGCCCCGGCUAACUACGUGCCAGCAGCCGCGGUAAUACGUAGGGGGCAAGCGUUAUCCGGAUUUACUGGGUGUAAAGGGAGCGUAGACGGCUUUGCAAGUCUGAAGUGAAAGCCCGGGGCUCAACCCCGGAACUGCUUUGGAAACUGUAGAGCUAGAGUGCAGGAGAGGUAAGUGGAAUUCCUAGUGUAGCGGUGAAAUGCGUAGAUAUUAGGAGGAACACCAGUGGCGAAGGCGGCUUACUGGUCUGUAACUGACGUUGAGGCUCGAAGGCGUGGGGAGCAAACAGGAUUAGAUACCCUGGUA
rnacentral:rRNA from 1 species